AGCUCGCGUCAGAUUAGCUAGUUGGUGAGGUAGAGGCUUACCAAGGCGACGAUCUGUAGUUGGUCUGAGAGGAUGACCAGCCACACUGGGACU
rnacentral:rRNA from 1 species